rnacentral:rRNA from 1 species
GACGAACGCUGGCGGCGUGCUUAACACAUGCAAGUCGAACGGAAAGGCUCCAGCUUGCUGGAGUACUCGAGUGGCGAACGGGUGAGUAACACGUGGGUAAUCUGCCCUGCACUCUGGGAUAAGCCUGGGAAACUGGGGCUAAUACUGGAUAUGACCUUUCUCCUUAUGGGGGUUGGUGGAAAGUUUUUCGGUGUAGGAUGAGCCCGCGGCCUAUCAGCUUGUUGGUGGGGUGAUGGCCUACCAAGGCGACGACGGGUAGCCGGCCUGAGAGGGUGAUCGGCCACAUUGGGACUGAGAUACGGCCCAGACUCCUACGGGAGGCAGCAGUGGGGAAUAUUGCACAAUGGGCGGAAGCCUGAUGCAGCGACGCCGCGUGAGGGAUGACGGCCUUCGGGUUGUAAACCUCUUUCAGCAGGGACGAAGCGUAAGUGACGGUACCUGCAGAAGAAGCACCGGCUAACUAUGUG